CAGGGUAUUAACCUACAUCUUCUGAAUGCAACUCAGAUCCUUUUAUUAAGAUAAAGUUCUCUAGAAUGAC
rnacentral:tRNA from 1 species